UAAGCAUCUAAAUAAUUAAGGCUUUUCUGGUAAAAUACAGAAAAGAAGGCACAAUUCCGAUUUCUUUCGCGUCGUGAUCUGAAGCUUAUCCCAACAGUUGGUGCUGCUGCUAUCAAAUUGAGAAAAAUAUUUCGUACUUUUGUGUUAUAAUUGUGUGAUUUUAAUAUUUGUUUGAAGAGUUUCGAAGUGAGCAGAAAAGCUAUACAUUUUGCGAAUUUAAUGCGGAAUCGAAGUGAAGAAAUGAUGAAGACAGUUAGUGCUACGAACUUCUAUGCAUAUGGUUGAUGAUUCUUGCUAAUGAAGACAACAACCUUUUCCGAUGCAGAUAACUAUU
rnacentral:lncRNA from 1 species